GAUGAAGAACGCAGCGAAAUGCGAUAAGUAAUGUGAAUUGCAGAAUUCAGUGAAUCAUCGAAUCUUUUAAAGCACAUUGCGCCCGUCAGUAUUCUGGCGGGCAUGCCUGUUCGAGCGUCAUUACGCCCCUCAAGUCCCCUGUGGACUUGGUGUUGGGGAUCGGCGAGGCUGGUUUUCCAGCACAGCCGUCCCUUAAAUUAAUUGGCGGUCUCGCCGUGGCCCUCCUCUGCGCAGUAGUAAAACACUCGCAACAGGAGCCCGGCGCGGUCCACUGCCGUAAAACCCCCCAACUUUUUAUAGUUGACCUCGAAUCAGGUAGGACUACCCGCUGAACUUAAGCAUAUCAAUAAGCGGAGGA
rnacentral:misc_RNA from 1 species